rnacentral:rRNA from 1 species
UACGUAGGGCGCAAGCGUUGUCCGGAAUUAUUGGGCGUAAAGAGCUCGUAGGCGGCUUGUCACGUCGGAUGUGAAAGCCCGGGCUUAACUCCGGGUCUGCAUUCGAUACGGGCAGGCUAGAGUUCGGUAGGGGAGAUCGGAAUUCCUGGUGUAGCGGUGAAAUGCGCAGAUAUCAGGAGGAACACCGGUGGCGAAGGCGGAUCUCUGGGCCGAUACUGACGCUGAGGAGCGAAAGCGUGGGGAGCGAACAGG